rnacentral:lncRNA from 1 species
UUGAAGGAUGGCAGUGCCAUCACAGGGACAACUUGUGCAGCCCAGUGGGACUGCCGAUGUCCCUGUCCUCACAGGGUGGCCAGCAACCUCGAUGAGUCGCUGAAGGGGCAGUACCAGGUGACGGUGGAGGCUCGGGACGGCGAGGCACCGGUGCACUCAGCACAGACUGUGCUGAAUAUCUUCACAGUGGACAAUUCCUACCGCGUUCGCCUCCAGUUCUCGUCAACGGUGGAAGAAGUCCAGAGUAACUCCGAAAGUAUCAAAUUGGCCCUGACCAGCGUGACCAAAGCAGCAGUUUAUGUGGUGGCGAUCCGAACCAUGGAGAGCACCCGUGACACCAGGUGAGUGGUGGUGGGGAAAAAGACACUGUGGUGGCAUUUGGGGGGUCACCCUGGGGUAGGGCACCAUGCCCUGCACCCUGGCACCCCACUCCCCCAUCUCUGUUAUCCUGCAGGGUGGAAGGCAAGUCAGUGAUAGAGGCGUACUUCGUGUACAGCAAUGGCACUGCCCUGGAUAUCAACCAGCUGAUCACGUGAGUGCCGGGGGCUGUGCACAGGCAUUGCCACAUGCCUGGCCCAGCCCAGCUGCUCAUCCCUCCGCUUUCCUUGGCAGACUCAUUCAGUCCGAUCCACUGGGCUUGGCUGAGCUGGUGAAACUGGGCCUUGCUGUUAUCGGCCCCGGGGAGGUGACAAACCCCACCAGGGAGACGGAGCUGAUCGGCAUCAUUGCAGGGUUGGCAGCAUUCCUGCUCAUCUUCAUACUCAUCAUGACCCUCGUCUUGGUUCUCACCACCAGGAGCUACAAGAGGAAGCUGAGUGCGAUGAAGGCUCUGAAGGUGGCCACCACGUUCAAUCCUGCCACAGCACAGCAGGGAGCCGGCAUUCCUGGGACCAACCAGUAUAAUGCUGAGGGGGCCAACCCCAUACUGAACCACCCACUUGAUCCCUCACACGACCUGGGCUUCCAUGAGGACUCCAUCUCUGUGACCAGGUGAGCUCUGUGGGCAAGUCCCAAAGCCCACAGUGCCAUCAUCCUACACCCCGACUUCUCCAGUGCCUAGGUCCUCUUCUACCCCCACCCUCCACUCUCCACAGCAUGAAUUCCCUGGAUGAAAACACAGUAAAUGCACCCGCAGAUGAUGACUUUGUG